GGCGUCGUGGCGCAAUGGCUAGCGCAUAGAGCUUCUACAUUUUCUACAGGUUCGAGGGUGAAGAGGCUCAAGAAUCUCGAGAAACAACUCUAAGGCUGCGGGUUCGAGUCCCGCCGACGUCU
rnacentral:tRNA from 1 species